UCCGGUUGAUCCUGCCGGACCCCACUGCUAUCGGGACAGGACUAAGACAUGCUAGUCGAGCGCUUCAGCCAAAAAGAGGCGCGGCAUACAGCUCAGUAACACGUGGCUAAUCUGCCCUUAGGACGAGAACAACCCCGGGAAACUGGGGCUAACUCUCGAUAGGUGAAGAACUCUGGAAUGAGUCUUCGCCCAAAAAGCUUCACGUUAUGCGCGUGAGGUUGCCUAAGGAUGAGGCCGCGACCGAUCAGGUUGUUGGUGAGGUAAUGGCUCACCAAGCCUUUUACCGGUGCGGGCCGUGAGAGCGGGAGCCCGGAGAUGGGCACUGAGACAAGGGCCCAGGCCCUACGGGGCGCAGCAGUCGCGAAAACUUUGCAAUACACGAAAGUGUGACAGGGCUAUCCCGAGUGCCAUCCGCUGAGGAAGGCUUUUACCCAGUCUAGAACGCUGGGGGAAUAAGGAGAGGGCAAGUCUGGUGUCAGCCGCCGCGGUAAUACCAGCUCUCCGAGUGGUGUGGAUGUUUAUUGGGCCUAAAGCAUCCGUAGCUGGCUAAGUUAGUCCCUUGUUAAAUCCACCGAAUUAAUCGUUGGAUUGCGGGGGAUACUGCUUGGCUAGGGGACGAGAGAGGCAGACGGUAUUCCCGGGGUAGGGGUGAAAUCCUAUAAUCCCGAGAAGACCACCAGUGGCGAAGGCUGUCUGCUAGAACGCGCCCGACGGUGAGGGAUGAAAGCUGGGGGAGCGAACCGGAUUAGAUACCCGGGUAGUCCCAGCUGUAAACGAUGCAGGCUAGUGUUUGGACGGCCACGUGCCGUUCUAGUGCCGCAGGGAAGCUGUUAAGCCUGCCGCCUGGGAGUACGAUCGCAAGAUUGAAACUUAAAGGAAU
rnacentral:rRNA from 1 species